UUUUUUUAGAUUUCAUGUUUAUUGAAAUAUAUUCGUUCAUUGACGUAUUAAAGAGAGAUAAUAGAGGUAAAAAUCAAAAAGAAGAGUCUGUAAUAAGAAGGUUUUUAAGACCGUAAAAAUUAGGGACUACAAAAAGAAGCUCAAGGGUUUUCAGCCGGGAGGCUGGAGACAGAAGAGAUUCGGAACGA
rnacentral:misc_RNA from 1 species